GUCCUCACCGCCAGCACCUCCAUCACAGAGAGCAGCAGACACCACACUGGCCUCACUUAGGAUGGGAGGCUCAGGAGCCAUGAAGUCCUGGGAGCUGACUGCUCAGACACCUGGGCUGAAGGUAUGGAAGCUUCGCUGGC
rnacentral:lncRNA from 1 species